AACGAACGCUGGCGGCGUGCCUAACACAUGCCAGUCGAACGAGAAAGGGGCUUCGGCUCCGAGUAAAGUGGCGCACGGGUGAGUAACACGUGGGUAACCUGCCUCUAAGAUUGGGAUAACUCGUCGAAAGAUGAGCUAAUACCGAAUAAGACCACAGUUCCCGCGGGAACAGGGGUCAAAGGUAGCCUCUGCUUGCAAGCUAUCACUUAGAGAUGGGCCUGCGCACCAUUAGCUAGUUGGUAGGGUAACGGCCUACCAAGGCAAAGAUGGUUAGCUGGUCUGAGAGGAUGAUCAGCCACACUGGAACUGAGACACGGUCCAGACUCCUACGGGAGGCAGCAGUGGGGAAUAUUGCGCAAUGGGCGAAAGCUUGACGCAGCAACGCCGCGUGAGUGAUGAAGGCCUUCGGGUCGUAAAGCUCUGUCGGGAGGAACGAAUGCUCCUGAGGUUAACAGCCUCGGGAGGUGACGGUACCUUCAAAGGAAGCACCGGCUAACUCUGU
rnacentral:rRNA from 1 species